GACGAACGCUGGCGGCGUGCUUAACACAUGCAAGUCGAACGGAAAGGCCCUGAUUUUGUGGGGUGCUCGAGUGGCGAACGGGUGAGUAACACGUGAGUAACCUGCCCUUGACUUUGGGAUAACUUAAGGAAACUGGGGCUAAUACCGUAUAGGAGCUCCUGCUGCAUGGAGGGGGUGGGAAAGUUUCGGCGGUUGGGGAUGGACUCGCGGCUAAUCAGCUUGUUGGUGGGGUAGUGGCUUACCCAGGCUUUGACGGGUAGCCGGCCUGAGAGGGUGACCGGCGACAUGGGGACUGAGAGACGGCCCAGACUCCUACGGUAGACAGCAGUGGGGAAUAUUGCACAAUGGGCGGAAGCCUGAUGCGGCAGCGCCGCGGUCGGGAUGACGGCCUUCGGGUAGUAAACCGCUUUCGCCUGUGACGAAGCGUGAGUGACGGUAAUGGGUAAAGAAGCACCGGCUAACUACGUG
rnacentral:rRNA from 1 species